rnacentral:miRNA from 1 species
AAUACUGCCUGGUAAUGAUGC